rnacentral:lncRNA from 1 species
CAAAUGUGGAGAUGACUUCCAGAGGCAAGAAAAAACACUUCACAGAAGAAUGUUUUCUUUCAGGUGAGAGUUCAUGCUUGUGGGUUUGACUCAAAGACAUCUCCCAAAGGACAAGGAAAUGCAGCACAUGGUACAAAAUCCUGCUGGAGACUGUACUACAAUAGUGGCCUUUGGAAACAAGAAAUUUGAUGAUGAUCAUGACCAUGUUGAUCAGUUCUGAAGACAACAAAAUGCCUUCACUUCUUAGCAUAGACCAUCUGGUUUUCAUUUCUUUUGAAAGUGAAAACGCCAUCUUUAUGAAAAUAGUUCAACAGGUGUGUUGUUUUUUACUUCUAUCUUGUUUUCCCCUUAUUUUCUCAGCAGGACAAGUGAUUUCAUUCCUGAAGCAGGAAAAGAAUGUUAAG